UACGGGGGGGGCAAGCGUUGUUCGGAAUUACUGGGCGUAAAGGGCUCGUAGGUGGCCAACUAAGUCAUACGUGAAAUCCCUCGGCUUAACCGGGGAACUGCGUCUGAUACUGGUUGGCUUGAGUUUGGGAGAGGGAUGCGGAAUUCCAGGUGUAGCGGUGAAAUGCGUAGAUAUCUGGAGGAACACCGGUGGCGAAGGCGGCAUCCUGGACCAUUACUGACACUGAAUAGCGAAAGCCAGGGGAGCAAACGGG
rnacentral:rRNA from 1 species